rnacentral:tRNA from 1 species
GGAGAAGUACCCAAGAGGCCGAAGGGGACGGUUUGCUAAAUCGUUAGGCGUGCAAGCGUGCGGGGGUUCGAAUCCCCCCUUCUCCGCCA